UACGGUAGGGGCAUAGUCGUUGCUCGGAAUCAUUGGGCGUAAAGCGCGCGUAGGCGGUUGCUUAAGUCGGAUGUGAAAGCCCUCGGCUUAACUGAGGAAGUGCAUCCGAAACUGAGCAGCUAGAGUACGAAAGAGGGUCGCGGAAUUCCCGGUGUAGAGGUGAAAUGCGUAGAGAUCAUGAGGAAGACCAGUGGCGAAGGCGGGUCUCUGGACAGUUCCUGACACUGAGGCACGAAGGCCAGGGGAGCAAACGGG
rnacentral:rRNA from 1 species